AGCUGUAUAAACAGAUCACUUCAGCACCACACAUCGGCUCUGUCAGCAGCAGGACAGCCGGAGCUGCGGCCAAGACUGAUGCUUUCUGCUAYCRCCCAUGGAGGGAGAGAUAUUCUAAGGCUUGCUGUGGUGGGUGGGGGUGAUUACGACGUAGCCCCCGAGCCCUGACAAACCUCUCUGUUCCCACCUGUGGAGCACAGUGGCCUGUGUCUCCAUGAAGUCCGGCUGUCAGAACCGGGUAAGCUGUGCAGAUGAGCCAGCAGCCUUCCAGCUAACAGAAACCUUCAGCAGCAGAUGCCACGCAGUGUGAGGUGAUGUCGCUGGUGGAAGAACAUUAGGCUGAGUCUACAGGCUCAUAAUGCCACUGAUGCUGCUGUCACUGCACACUCUGCUGGCUUGAGCUCGGCCUCACAGGAGAACAAUUCGUCUGAUGACCUCAACUGUAUCUAACAGCCUUUUUAGCACCUGGCAAAAAAGGAGAGUGGGGGCGUGAACGUUGCAUGCUGUUGUGCCAUGCUGUUUGCCAGAAAGACCAGCGGGUGUCCACCAGCGCCUGAAAGCAGCAAACUGUCUGCUGAAGUAUGUACAGCUCACAGUCACAACAACGUGUGCUGCGCAUGCUGAGAAUCCAGAACAGGUAUCAGGCCGGCACGGCUGCAUACAAAGAGGCUGCGAGAGCAAAACA